GUAACACGUAGUCAACAUGCCCAGGGGACGUGGAUAACCUCGGGAAACUGAGGAUAAACCGCGAUAGGCCAUGAUUUCUGGAAUGGUUCAUGGCCGAAAUCUAUAUGGCCCCUGGAUUGGACUGCGGCCGAUCAGGCUGUUGGUGAGGUAAUGGCCCACCAAACCUGUAACCGGUACGGGCUCUGAGAGGAGGAGCCCGGAGAUGGGCACUGAGACAAGGGCCCAGGCCCUAUGGGGCGCAGCAGGCGCGAAAUCUCUGCAAUAGGCGAAAGCUUGACAGGGUUACUCUGAGUGAUUCCCGCUAAGGGGAUCUUUUGGCACCUUUAAAAAUGGUGCAAAAUAAGGGGUGGGCAAGUCUGGUGCCAGCA
rnacentral:rRNA from 1 species